rnacentral:rRNA from 1 species
UUAAGCGGAGGAAAAGAAACUAACCAGGAUUUCCUCAGUAGCGGCGAGCGAACAGGAAAGAGCCCAGCACCGAAUCCCGCGGUUCCGCCGCAGGGAAAUGUGGUGUUCGGGAGGAUCCGAUUAUCCCGAGGCGUCGCGUCGCGUCCAAGUCCAUCUUGAAUGGGGCCACUUACCCGCAGAGGGUGCCAGGCCCGUAGCGACCGGUGCGCGUCUCGGGAGGAUCUCUCCUUAGAGUCGGGUUGCUUGAGAGUGCAGCUCUAAGUGGGUGGUAAACUCCAUCUAAGGCUAAAUACGACCACGAGACCGAUAGCGAACAAGUACCGUGAGGGAAAGUUGAAAAGAACUUUGA